CAGCCGCCGCGGUAAUACGUAGGGUCCGAGCGUUGUCCGGAAUUAUUGGGCGUAAAGGGCUCGUAGGCGGUUUGUCGCGUCGGGAGUGAAAACCAGCAGCUUAACUGCUGGCCUGCUUUCGAUACGGGCAGACUUGAGGCAUUCAGGGGAGAACGGAAUUCCUGGUGUAGCGGUGAAAUGCGCAGAUAUCAGGAGGAACACCGGUGGCGAAGGCGGUUCUCUGGGAAUGUUCUGACGCUGAGGAGCGAAAGUGUGGGGAGCGAACAGGAUUAGAUACCCCUGUAGUCCCUGUCUCUUAUAU
rnacentral:rRNA from 1 species